rnacentral:misc_RNA from 1 species
UCUCCGUUGGUGAACCAGCGGAGGGAUCAUUACCGAGUUAUACAACUCAUCAACCCUGUGAACAUACCUAAAACGUUGCUUCGGCGGGAACAGACGGCCCUGUAACAACGGGCCGCCCCCGCCAGAGGACCCCUAACUCUGUUUUUAUAAUGUUUUUCUGAGUAAACAAGCAAAUAAAUUAAAACUUUCAACAACGGAUCUCUUGGCUCUGGCAUCGAUGAAGAACGCAGC